AUUACAGAAGCAGCUAAAAAACUAGGUGCUCAAUUAACUAAAGACUAUGCAGGAAAAAAUCCAAUCUUAGUUGGGAUUUUAAAAGGAUCUAUUCCUUUUAUGGCUGAAUUGGUCAAACAUAUUGAUACACAUAUUGAAAUGGACUUCAUGAUGGUUUCUAGCUACCAUGGUGGAACAGCAAGUAGUGGUGUUAUCAAUAUUAAACAAGAUGUGACUCAAGAUAUCAAAGGAAGACAUGUUCUAUUUGUAGAAGAUAUCAUUGAUACAGGUCAAACUUUGAAGAAUUUGCGAGAUAUGUUUAAAGAAAGAGAAGCAGCUUCUGUUAAAAUUGCAACCUUGUUGGAUAAACCAGAAGGACGUGUUGUAGAAAUUGAGGCAGACUAUACCUGCUUUACUAUCCCAAAUGAGUUUGUAGUAGGUUAUGGUUUAGACUACAAAGAAAAUUAUCGUAAUCUUCCUUAUAUUGGAGUAUUGAAAGAGGAAGUGUAUUCAAAUUAGAAAGAAUAAUCUUUAAUGAAAAAACAAAAUAAUGGUUUAAUUAAAAAUCCUUUUCUAUGGUUAUUAUUUAUCUUUUUCCUUGUGACAGGAUUCCAGUAUUUCUAUUCUGGGAAUAACUCAGGAGGAAGUCAGCAAAUCAACUAUACUGAGUUGGUACAAGAAAUUACCGAUGGUAAUGUAAAAGAAUUAACUUACCAACCAAAUGGUAGUGUUAUCGAAGUUUCUGGUGUCUAUAAAAAUCCUAAAACAAGUAAAGAAGGAACAGGUAUUCAGUUUUUCACGCCAUCUGUUACUAAGGUAGAGAAAUUUACCAGCACUAUUCUUCCUGCAGAUACUACCGUAUCAGAAUUGCAAAAACUUGCUACUGACCAUAAAGCAGAAGUAACUGUUAAGCAUGAAAGUUCAAGUGGUAUAUGGAUUAAUCUACUCGUAUCCAUUGUGCCAUUUGGAAUUCUAUUCUUCUUCCUAUUCUCUAUGAUGGGAAAUAUGGGAGGAGGCAAUGGCCGUAAUCCAAUGAGUUUUGGACGUAGUAAGGCUAAAGCAGCAAAUAAAGAAGAUAUUAAAGUAAGAUUUUCAGAUGUUGCUGGAGCUGAGGAAGAAAAACAAGAACUAGUUGAAGUUGUUGAGUUCUUAAAAGAUCCAAAACGAUUCACAAAACUUGGAGCCCGUAUUCCAGCAGGUGUUCUUUUGGAGGGACCUCCGGGGACAGGUAAGACUUUGCUUGCUAAGGCAGUCGCUGGAGAAGCAGGUGUUCCAUUCUUUAGUAUCUCAGGUUCUGACUUUGUAGAAAUGUUUGUCGGAGUUGGAGCUAGUCGUGUUCGCUCUCUUUUUGAGGAUGCCAAAAAAGCAGCACCAGCUAUCAUCUUUAUCGAUGAAAUUGAUGCUGUUGGACGUCAACGUGGAGUUGGUCUCGGCGGAGGUAAUGACGAACGUGAACAAACCUUGAACCAACUUUUGAUUGAGAUGGAUGGUUUUGAGGGAAAUGAAGGGAUUAUCGUCAUCGCUGCGACAAACCGUUCAGAUGUACUUGAUCCUGCCCUUUUGCGUCCAGGACGUUUUGAUAGAAAAGUAUUGGUUGGCCGUCCUGAUGUUAAAGGUCGUGAAGCAAUCUUGAAAGUUCACGCUAAGAACAAGCCUUUAGCAGAAGAUGUUGAUUUGAAAUUAGUGGCUCAACAAACUCCAGGCUUUGUUGGUGCUGAUUUAGAGAAUGUCUUGAAUGAAGCAGCUUUAGUUGCUGCUCGUCGCAAUAAAUCGAUAAUUGAUGCUUCAGAUAUUGAUGAAGCAGAAGAUAGAGUUAUUGCUGGACCUUCUAAGAAAGAUAAGACAGUUUCACAAAAAGAACGAGAAUUGGUUGCUUACCAUGAGGCAGGACAUACCAUUGUUGGUCUAGUCUUGUCGAAUGCUCGCGUUGUCCAUAAGGUUACAAUUGUACCACGCGGCCGUGCAGGCGGAUACAUGAUUGCACUUCCUAAAGAGGAUCAAAUGCUUCUAUCUAAAGAAGAUAUGAAAGAGCAAUUGGCUGGCUUAAUGGGUGGACGUGUAGCUGAAGAAAUUAUCUUUAAUGUCCAAACUACAGGAGCUUCAAACGACUUUGAACAAGCGACACAAAUGGCACGUGCAAUGGUUACAGAGUACGGUAUGAGUGAAAAACUUGGCCCAGUACAAUAUGAAGGAAACCAUGCUAUGUUUGGUGCACAGAAUCCUCAAAAAUCAAUUUCAGAACAAACAGCUUAUGAAAUUGAUGAAGAGGUUCGUUCAUUAUUAAAUGAGGCACGAAAUAAAGCUGCUGAAAUUAUUCAGUCAAAUCGUGAAACUCACAAGUUAAUUGCAGAAGCAUUAUUGAAAUACGAAACAUUGGAUAGUACACAAAUUAAAGCUCUUUACGAAACAGGAAAGAUGCCUGAAGCAGUAGAAGAGGAAUCUCAUGCACUAUCCUAUGAUGAAGUAAAGUCAAAAAUGAAUGACGAAAAAUAACCCUGAGAGAGGCUGGAGCCUCUCUUUUUUGUGCAGUUUAGGAGCUAAAGGGAACAGAAUGGAGAAAAUGGAACAAAUGUGUUUUCUAAUCUGUUAGACUGUAUCUAGAAAGGGGAAAAUUAUGAUUAAAGAAUUGUAUGAAGAAGUCCAAGGGACUGUGUAUAAGUGUAGAAAUGAAUAUUACCUUCAUUUAUGGGAAUUAUCGGAUUGGGACCAAGAAGGCAUGCUCUGCUUACAUGAAUUGAUUAGUAGAGAAGAAGGACUGGUAGACGAUAUUCCACGUUUAAGGAAAUAUUUCAAAACCAAGUUUUAGCAGUAUCCUGAGUACGGCGGGACACGUGAAAUCCCGUCGGAAUCUGGGAGGACCAUCUCCCAACCCUAAAUACUCCCUAGUGACCGAUAGUGAACCAGUACCGUGAGGGAAAGGUGAAAAGCACCCCGGGAGGGGAGUGAAAUAGAACCUGAAACCGUGUGCCUACAACAAGUUCGAGCCCGUUAAUGGGUGAGAGCGUGCCUUUUGUAGAAUGAACCGGCGAGUUACGUUAUGAUGCGAGGUUAAGUUGAAGAGACGGAGCCGUAGGGAAACCGAGUCUGAAUAGGGCGCCUUAGUAUCAUGACGUAGACCCGAAACCAUGUGACCUACCCAUGAGCAGGUUGAAGGUGCGGUAAGACGCACUGGAGGACCGAACCAGGGCACGUUGAAAAGUGCUUGGAUGACUUGUGGGUAGCGGAGAAAUUCCAAACGAACUUGGAGAUAGCUGGUUCUCUCCGAAAUAGCUUUAGGGCUAGCGUCGACAUUAGAGAUUCUUGGAGGUAGAGCACUGUUUGGGUGAGGGGUCCAUCCCGGAUUACCAAUCUCAGAUAAACUCCGAAUGCCAAUGAAUUAUGGUCGGCAGUCAGACUGCGAGUGCUAAGAUCCGUAGUCGAAAGGGAAACAGCCCAGACCACCAGCUAAGGUCCCAAAAUAAUUGUUAAGUGGAAAAGGAUGUGGGGUUGCACAGACAACUAGGAUGUUAGCUUAGAAGCAGCUAUUCAUUCAAAGAGUGCGUAAUAGCUCACUAGUCGAGUGACCCUGCGCCGAAAAUGUACCGGGGCUAAAACAAUUUACCGAAGCUGUGGAUACCUUUAUAGGUAUGGUAGGAGAGCGUUCUAUGUGUGAUGAAGGUAUACCGUGAGGAGUGCUGGAACGCAUAGAAGUGAGAAUGCCGGUAUGAGUAGCGAAAGACAGGUGAGAAUCCUGUCCACCGUAAGACUAAGGUUUCCAGGGGAAGGCUCGUCCGCCCUGGGUUAGUCGGGACCUAAGGAGAGACCGAAAGGUGUAUCCGAUGGACAACAGGUUGAUAUUCCUGUACUAGAGUAUGUAGUGAUGGAGGGACGCAGUAGGCUAACUAAAGCAGACGAUUGGAAGAGUCUGUCUAAGCAGUGAGGUGUGAAUUGAGUCAAAUGCUUAAUUCUAUAACAUUGAGCUGUGAUGGGGAGCGAAGUUUAGUAGCGAAGUUAGUGACGUCACACUGCCAAGAAAAGCUUCUAGCGUUUAAACAUACUCUACCCGUACCGCAAACCGACACAGGUAGUCGAGGCGAGUAGCCUCAGGUGAGCGAGAGAACUCUCGUUAAGGAACUCGGCAAAAUGACCCCGUAACUUCGGGAGAAGGGGUGCUGACUUUAAGUCAGCCGCAGUGAAUAGGCCCAAGCAACUGUUUAUCAAAAACACAGCUCUCUGCUAAAUCGUAAGAUGAUGUAUAGGGGGUGACGCCUGCCCGGUGCUGGAAGGUUAAGAGGAGUGCUUAGCGUAAGCGAAGGUAUGAAUUGAAGCCCCAGUAAACGGCGGCCGUAACUAUAACGGUCCUAAGGUAGCGAAAUUCCUUGUCGGGUAAGUUCCGACCGCACGAAAGGCGUAAUGAUUUGGGCACUGUCUCAACGAGAGACUCGGUGAAAUUUUAGUACCUGUGAAGAUGCAGGUUACCCGCGACAGGACGGAAAGACCCCAUGGAGCUUUACUGCAGUUUGAUAUUGAGUGUCUGUACCACAUGUACAGGAUAGGUAGGAGUCUAAGAGAUCGGGACGCCAGUUUCGAAGGAGACGCUGUUGGGAUACUACCCUUGUGUUAUGGCCACUCUAACCCAGAUAGGUGAUCCCUAUCGGAGACAGUGUCUGACGGGCAGUUUGACUGGGGCGGUCGCCUCCUAAAAGGUAACGGAGGCGCCCAAAGGUUCCCUCAGAAUGGUUGGAAAUCAUUCGCAGAGUGUAAAGGUAUAAGGGAGCUUGACUGCGAGAGCUACAACUCGAGCAGGGACGAAAGUCGGGCUUAGUGAUCCGGUGGUUCCGUAUGGAAGGGCCAUCGCUCAACGGAUAAAAGCUACCCUGGGGAUAACAGGCUUAUCUCCCCCAAGAGUUCACAUCGACGGGGAGGUUUGGCACCUCGAUGUCGGCUCGUCGCAUCCUGGGGCUGUAGUCGGUCCCAAGGGUUGGGCUGUUCGCCCAUUAAAGCGGCACGCGAGCUGGGUUCAGAACGUCGUGAGACAGUUCGGUCCCUAUCCGUCGCGGGCGUAGGAAAUUUGAGAGGAUCUGCUCCUAGUACGAGAGGACCAGAGUGGACUUACCGCUGGUGUACCAGUUGUCUUGCCAAAGGCAUCGCUGGGUAGCUAUGUAGGGAAGGGAUAAACGCUGAAAGCAUCUAAGUGUGAAACCCACCUCAAGAUGAGAUUUCCCAUGAUUAUAUAUCAGUAAGAGCCCUGAGAGAUGAUCAGGUAGAUAGGUUAGAAGUGGAAGUGUGGCGACACAUGUAGCGGACUAAUACUAAUAGCUCGAGGACUUAUCCAA
rnacentral:rRNA from 1 species